rnacentral:lncRNA from 1 species
GUGUUUCUUUGUGUAUUUUACAGAGGGAAAGUUUUGAGUAUGUCUAAAUGCUGGAGGUGAGGGACCAAUGAAGCAAGCUGUGGAUAAAGAAGAAGGAGAGCUGCAGUCCAAGGUGUGGAAUGAAGAGGUCACCACCAGUUAACCCUGCCGUGAUACUCAGAAAGCUAGAAGACUCCAAACACAGAGACUUCAGUCUCCACCACUGUGCUUGUUAGUAGACAUACCCACUGGGAGUUUACCUUUCAGAUCUCAAAUGAAGGGUAAAGUGGAGAAUCUUUGGCCUGUCAGUGACAAAAUGGUUGUUAAAAAAAAAAAAGAAGAAAGAAAAAAUAAAUAGCAUAUACAAGUAAGUCUAAGGUAGCAUUCAAGUCUGUUGCACCUGUGUGUGUGA